rnacentral:rRNA from 1 species
AUGCUUGCUAAUUAUACUUUUAAGGAUGGAAUACCAAAGAAACUUGGAGAUCCAGGAGUACCUACUAUACCAUGCUCCAUUAAGAGAAAUUAUGUUAAAAAUGAUUUAUGUGAUCUUGGAGCCGGUGUCAGUGUUAUGCCUCUCUCUUUAUAUCGUAGACUUGACUUGAAUAAGUUGACACCUAUCGAAAUAUCUUUGCAAAUGGCUGAUAAAUCAACUGCUAUACCUGUCGGUAUUUGCGAGGAUGUGCCUGUUGUAGUUGCGAAUGUUACUAUUUUAACAGACUUUGUUAUUCUUGAUAUUCCCGAGGAUGAUAGUAUGUCUAUUAUUCUUGGAAGACCUUUCCUUAAUACUGCAGGGGCUGUUAUUGAUUGCAACAAAGGCAAUGUCACUUUUCAUGUUAAUGGCAAUGAG